GAGCACGUAGGUGGGUUUGUAAGUCAGAUGUGAAAGCCUUCUGUUCAACGGAAGAAUUGCAUCUGAAACUGCGAGUCUUGAGUGUAGGAGGGGAGAAUGGAACUUCUGGUGGAGCGGUGAAAUGCGUAGAUAUCAGAAGGAACGCCGGCGGCGAAAGCGAUUCUCUGGCCUAUUACUGACACUCAGUGUGCGAAAGCUAGGGGAGCAAGCGGGAUUAGAUACCCCGGUAGUCCUAGCCGUAAACGAUGGGCACUAAGUAGAGGGGUUUU
rnacentral:rRNA from 1 species